GAUGAACGCUGGCGGCGUGCUUAACACAUGCAAGUCGAACGGAAAGGCUCCUGCUUGCAGGGGUACUCGAGUGGCGAACGGGUGAGUAACACGUGGGUGAUCUGCCCUGCACUUCGGGAUAAGCCUGGGAAACUGGGUCUAAUACCGGAUAGGACCACAUUUUGGAUGGUGUGGUGGAAAGUUUUUCGGUGUGGGAUGAGCUCGCGGCCUAUCAGCUUGUUGGUGGGGUAAUGGCCUACCAAGGCGUCGACGGGUAGCCGGCCUGAGAGGGGGUACGGCCAGCUUGGGGACGGAGAUGGGGCCCAGACCCCGAGGGGGGGGGGAAGGGGGGAAUAUUGAACAUGGGGGGAAGGCGUGAUGCGGGGAGGCCGGGGGGGGGAGGAGGGCUUUGGGUUUGAAAACCCCUGUCGAAGGGGAGGAAGUGUUUUUGUGACGGUACCUGGAAAAGAAGCCCCGGCAAACUACGUG
rnacentral:rRNA from 1 species